GUUCAAACGAGGAAGGGCUUACGGUGGAUACCUAGGCACCCAGAGAUGAGGAAGGGCAUGGUAAGUAACGAAAUGCUUCGGGGAGUUGAAAAUGAGCAUAGAUCCGGAGAUUCCCGAAUAGGUUAACCUUUUUAACUGCUACUGAAUCCAUGGGUAGGCAAGAGACAACCUGGCAAACUGAAACAUCUUAGUAGCCAGAGGAAUAGAAAGCAAAAUUGAUUCCCGUAGUAUCGGUGAGCGAAAUGGGAGUAGCCUAAACCAUGAAAACGAGGUUGUGGGAGAGCACAAUAUAAGCUCUAUGCUGCUAGGCGAAGCGGUUGAGUCCUGCACCCUAGAUGGUGAGAGUCCAAUAGCCAAAAGCAUCAUUGGGUUACACUCUAACCUGAGUUGCAUGGGGCACGUGGAAUCCCGUGUGAAUAAGCAAGGACCACCUUGCAAGGCUAAAUACUCCUAGGUGACCAAUAGCGAAGUAGUACCGUGAGGGAAAGCUGAAAAGAACCCCCAUAGGGGAGUGAAAUAGAACAUGAAACCGUAAGCUCGCAAACAGUGGGAGGAAAAUGAUAUCUCUGACCACGUGCCUGUUGAAGAAUGAGUCGGUGACUUAUAGGCAGUGGCUUGGUUAAGGGAACCCACCAGAGCCAUAGCGAGAGCGA
rnacentral:ncRNA from 1 species